rnacentral:rRNA from 1 species
UGUUACUUGUAAUGAAUUUAUUUUGGAAUAUUAGUAAUAACGAAAUUUAACGGAUUUGGCGGCAAGAUAGACCAUUUAGAGGAACCUGCCCUGUAAACGAUGAGCCACGAGGUACUUAACUCUUGUUAGUGAACAGUUUGUAUACCGCUGUUGUUAGUCAGUUUCUUUAGAAAACUUUCAGAAAUGGGAUAGCCAUUGACUUCAAGUAAAGGUGCAGCUUAUGCAUGAGGUAGAGGUGGGUUACAAUUAUAUGAAUAAAUACGGAGGAAAAUAUGAAAAAUUUUUUGAAGGUGGAUUUAAUUGUAAAACUUAUAAAAGUUUGAUGAGAGCACUGUCUUGUG